AUUGAACGCUGGCGGCAUGCCUUACACAUGCAAGUCGAACGGUAACGCGGGGCAACCUGGCGACGAGUGGCGAACGGGUGAGUAAUAUAUCGGAACGUGCCCAGUAGUGGGGGAUAGCCCGGCGAAAGCCGGAUUAAUACCGCAUGAGACCUGAGGGUGAAAGCGGGGGAUCGCAAGACCUCGCGCUAUUGGAGCGGCCGAUAUCAGAUUAGGUAGUUGGUGGGGUAAAAGCCUACCAAGCCGACGAUCUGUAGCUGGUCUGAGAGGACGACCAGCCACACUGGGACUGAGACACGGCCCAGACUCCUACGGGAGGCAGCAGUGGGGAAUUUUGGACAAUGGGCGCAAGCCUGAUCCAGCCAUGCCGCGUGCGGGAAGAAGGCCUUCGGGUUGUAAACCGCUUUUGUCAGGGAAGAAAUCUUCUGGGUUAAUACCUCGGGAGGAUGACGGUACCUGAAGAAUAAGCACCGGCUAACUACGUGCCAGCCGCCGCGGUAACAC
rnacentral:rRNA from 1 species